GGACUGCGGUCACAACUGGACACUAGAGCAGAGUCUUCUCAGGUCAGGGAGCCCAAUGCCAAAAUAAAAGUGUCUCCGUUUACUUUGCUACGAUGUUGCCGGCAGCCAGCGUGUGACAGCAGGGCCGUCGAAUGGGCAGCUGGGUCCCUUCCCUCCUGCGGAAGUGAGAGGAGGACCGUCCUUCAGGCUGCUGCCUUCACAGCUGGGCCUGCCCUUCUGAGGUGAGACGCUGGGCUCAGACCUCCCCGUGUCCCCCCAGGAUAAUGUAUUCUUUAAGAGUUCUGCAAAAACUGAGUCUUGGAAUCAGUGCCAGCUUCCCAGAGACAGGGUCUCACUGAGUUGUUUACCGCCUCGCUGGAUUGCUGAGGCUGGCUUUGAACUCGCGAUCCUCCAUCCUCAGCCUCCCGAGCCUCUGGGAUCACAGGAGUGGCCACCUCACCAAGCUAAAAUCAUAGAUGAAGCUACGAUUAUCUCAGAAUAAAAGGCUCCACGUCCUUCUUUAGAACUACGGCGCGGCCCCUCAGCUGGCCUCCCUGAGUCCCUUUGGCUCUUUUCCAGUACAUUCUCCAUGGUCAGCCAGAGCGAUUUCUCUCAGGAACAGCUGAUCACAUCAUCCUCUUGCGCAGUGCUGUUCGCGGAUCCGGGUACUUCAGGAUAAACCUCAGUACGUCCCACAUGACCCCCUAACCUGGCUGUGCGUGCCUGCUGGCUGGUGGCCCUCCCUCCGGCUGUGUGCGAGAGGCACCUGGACACCGGGGAGCUCAGCUGCACUCAGGGGCCCCGUGGAGCAGCCACCAGCGCCUAGGAGCCCAGGGGUAUAGUGGAGUUGGGGUCCUUGCCAGCAUCCUGGGUUGUGGGAGUGCCCUGGCUUCCAGCUCCGCCGCCCGCCAAGGCGUCUGGGUGUGCUCUCUGCAGAACGGCACCACGGCCGGCUUUGGGGUGGACCUCCUGUGCUCACGCCUUUACCUUCUGACCCACCCAACCUGUCGUGACUUAGCAAGAACAAAUGUGGCCAGCACAAGGUCCCAGGCAGACUCCUGGGGACUCUCGAGCCUCCCCACUCCUCCGCGCCCUCCCGCUCCUCUCUGCCUGCGCGUGGGCAGUGCCCACCUGCAGCAGGUGCAGCAGGAAGCAGCAGGAAGUUGAAGCCGAUCAUUAAGCUUUUCUGGAGAGAGCUUCCUGGGAAGGUGGGAGGGGACACUGGGCAGAGCUGAGGACACACGGGAGAAGGCCAGAGCUGGGGUCCCACGUCCUGAGGAGGAGCCCAGGUGGGAGUCUGGGACCUCGGGACACCCUGCAGAGCCCACUGUAGGGGAGUCAGAACAGGCUUGAGAGACUCUAAAACCAGGUGGAGAGUGCAGCUCAGCACGUCCAGAGCACCGAGCGUGGAACUCAGCCAAGCCAGCCCCUCCCUUUACAACAGAGAGAACUGAGGUUCAGGGAGCAGCUGAGAACCCCCCUUCCCCCAUCAGGGAGAAGCACCCGGCCAGGACGGGGACCCACGGAAGCACUCGUACCGCGUGCCUGGAGCAGGCCACAUGCGAGAGGGUGCGUUUGUGGCUGCUGUGGCCUGCUUGCUCCCUAGACCCUGCCUCCAGGAGUGUGCAGUGCACCUACUGCACCACUGUACAGCCAGCACCGAGGCAGAGUUGGGGAGACCCAAGAGGUCCCUCAGACAGUGUGGCCCCCUCUCUUAGCUCCCAGUAUGUGGUGGAAUGAAGGCAGGAGCGGUAUCUGGAGCAAGGCCGCGGAUGUUAGGUCCACCUUUGGACACUGGAAUGUAGAAACUGGCAUUUGAAAAGGUAGGUAAGGCCUGACUCUGCCCUAGAGGAAACCGGGUCUGGGUGUGAAGAGGCAGAGAGGGGCAAGACGAGGACCUGUGCUGGGCUGAGGGUUUCUGGGUGUCUGGUCAGGAGGAAGGAGGCCCUGUAACCUCCAUGUCUGCAGGUCAAGGCUCACUGAGCCUUCAGCCCAGGCCCAGGGAACCAGUGUCCUCCCUCGCUGGCUGCAGGCCACACAGAGCAUGAGUCGGGACAGAGUCCAGCAGGCCUUUGCCACACCCAGGCCCGCGCACUUCCCAAGGGAAUCAAGGACAGAGGGGACCCUGAACCUCAGUCCUGGCCAGCCCAGCCGUGCUGCACCACAGUGCCCUCUUCUGGCCAUCCAGGGAAGGUCGUCUCAGGCCCUGUGGCCAGAGGUGGGAGCACCCCAGGCUCUGGGUGGGCCCCGGGGAGGGAGCAGGUAGGUAUGAGCAGCACAGGACCCAGGCCAUGGGCUGGAGCUGACCUGGGUAGGCAGGGGGAGCGGGAGCUUCCAGCAGGUGGUCCUGACUGUGGCGGCAGCUCUGCAGUCAGUCUGCAGGAGGUGCUCUGCAGGGAAGGGGCGGAGGCCGGCCUCCACGGGGCGCCUCAGGAGCGGCUCUGCGCUGUCCUGGCCAGGGCCCUCUUUUUCUGACAAGGAAUCCUUUGAUGUCCAAUGGCUACUUCCCCACAGGUCCGAGCAGCCCGCCUGGGCCCAGGGUUCAGUCCUCUGCGCUUCCAGAAGCGGAUUUCACAGGGAUUAACUUCAGACGCGGCUCUGGUGCUUCUCUUUACUCCGGUAGCCCUGGCCUUGCGGGGAAUGUGGAGGAGGUAGAGAAACACAGGGGCAAAGCCAGAAAUUAUUCUCAAGCCACCCUCCCAGCAAAAUCCCAUCAGCGCUGGGGUGCGGCUCCUCCCCAAGCUCAGGCCUAGCUUGGGUGCCACUUUGCCCACAGUGUUCUCUUUUGCUGCUUAAUGCGACAUUACAGGAGUGUUAUGAAAUGUUUUAUGAACACUCCCUGUGUGUGUGUGUGUGUGUGUGUGGUGCUGGGGAGGGUCCCAGGGCACUGUGCAGGCCAGGCAAGUGCUCCACCACUGAGCCACACCUGAGUGGCUGUACACAGUCCAUCCUGUGGCUGGCCUGUCACAGUUAUGGUCUUUGCUGGACAUUUGGAGGUUUCUCAGCUCACUGUUGCAUGCUUGAUGGUCUGGAUCUGGAAGGUCUCUCGAGGGUCUGCAGGAUCCGCAGAGCAGUAACGUCCCUCAGUGCAGCUUUGAGGAGAUGGCUGGCUCUCGAGGUCUCUGACCUCAUGGGUGGGUGCAUCCAUUUGGUUAAUUAAUGAUUUGAAUGGAUUAUUGGGAGGCGGAGCCUGGUUAGAGGAAGCAAGUCCCUGGAGGUGUGCCCACGGAGGCCCACCUGGCCUGGGCACUGCCUCCUCCCUCCCUGCCCCUCUCUCUCAGCUGCUGUGAGCCAGCUGCAUCCUCCACACCACACCUCCCACCACGAGGUUCCACCUCACCUCAGGCCCGCAGCAAAGGAGCCAGGAGACCAUGGACUGACCCCCUGAAAUCACGAGCCAAAAUGACCUUUUUGUCCUCUAAGUUGUUCUCGUCAGCUGCUGUGGUCACAGUGAUGCGAAGCUGACAACAUGACGCUCUUGGAAAGAGCCAGUGAGUGGAUCUUGGUCUCUGGGAUGGAGUCCCGGGAGGGCCAUCUGAGGUGGAAGGAGCCACAGUCCCAAGGUCCUGCCGGGUGGACGGGCAGCCGCAGCUUCACCUCCGCAGGUGUGAAUGUGCCAGUUCUCCUGCUGGACCUCCAACCGCUAGUGGGUGGGCACAGACCUUUUUUGGCAUUUGUUUGGCUGCCGAGGCAGUUGGACAUCGCCCGCAGGUUUGGCUGAAGACUCAAAGGGCCACGAGCGGCUCUUUCCUCUGCCCACAGAAGAGCGAUUCCAGAAAUAAGACCAGAGAGGGGGAAACUGGGCCAAAGAUCCCUUUGAUUCUUUAUAAAGAUGAAGGGGGAGGAUGCAGCCUCCGGGAGAGCCAGAUGGGGCUGUGAGUGAAUCAGGGAUUCAGCCGCACCCCCCUCCCAGUCCCAGCAGAGCUCCUUGGACUGACAGCCAGAUGGCCUGCCGGGAGGACUUUUCUGGAGGUGGACAUUGCCUGGACUUAGCAUGGAAAGCUGGGGGUGGGGGGGUGUCGGAGGUGUCACUCUAUAGCCAUCGUCUGGUCCCCUAAAGGAAAAAGGGGGCCUGAGCUGAGGAUCUGGUUAUUUUCUGAAAUGCCCCAGUCGGAGGACAAGGUGCCUCCCUGCUGCCUUCGCCAGUCGCCUGUGUUUCCUCCUAUUAAUGUUAAAUUCUUUCUAUGGGGAUUGACCAGCAACAGUGAUUCAUUAAAGGUCUCUUUAAAAAUCA